rnacentral:tRNA from 1 species
GCUGGCGUGGCUCAACGGUAGAGCAGCUGACUUGUAAUCAGCAGGUUGGGGGUUCGAUUCCCUUCGCCAGCUCCA